AGUCACUUGAGGAAGACCCGAAUCCGGUCGAUCUACGCCUGAGUAAGUUGAAGCUAUGCGAAAGCAUGGUGGAGGACUGAACCGGUACUGAUGUGCAAAUCGUUCGGAUGACUUGGGUGUAGGGGUUAAAGGCUAAUCUAGGCCGGUAAUAGCGGGUUCCCCCCGAUACUACCCGCAGGUAGACCUCAGCAGAGAUGUUUGGCGAGGUAGAGCGACCGAAUAGUUGGUUAGCGAUCGAAAGGUCGCGCCGACUUAUCGAACUCCGAACUUGUCAAAAUCGUAGAAGCUGGGUGCUAGAGUUCAGGGAUAAGCUCUGAACUCGUGAAGGGAACAUCCUAGACGAGGGUUAAGGUCCCUAAAACUAACUAAGUGCGAAUUAAAAAGGUUUGAGGCCAAAGACAGUGUGGAGGUUGGCUUAGAAGCAGCCAUCCUUUAAAGAGUGCGUAACAGCUCACUCACCGAGGCGUCAUGUCUUGAAGAUGGACGGGGCUAAAGUUAGUUACCGAGACCUUCGAGCACCGAAAGGUGAUCUGGUAGGGGGCGUGCCAUAUGGACAGAAGUUUCUUCGAGAGGAGGGAUGGACCGUAUGGUAUCGUGGAUCCUGGUAAAAGUAGCAGAAAAGAAUCGUGAGAAUCGAUUCCGCCGAAAGGGCAAGGGUUCCUUGGCAAUGUUCGUCAGCCGAGGGUUAGUCGAUCCUAAGGUCA
rnacentral:rRNA from 1 species